GCCCACAUGGGAAUUUCACCCCUGCCUGUGGGAAACCCCUUCUGAUUGGUUCCCUGCCCCACUGACCCACCUCCUGGGGAAGAGCAUCCUAUCAGCACAGCUGCAGGAAGCAGGCAGAGCUCAUUGCUUCCUCCCCACCCCCCAAGAGCCCACACCAGUCUCACUGAAGAGGAGGAGGGAGAAGAAAGUUCCCAGCAGCUCAGGGAGGCUCUGCUCCCCGCUCCUCUGUCUCACUGCCAUACCCAGCCUGGAAGUGGGAGAAAGACCUAGCUGCAGCCCAUCCCCAUCAUGCCUGGGAGAGAGAAUGAAGAACCCCACAAGCUGCAGGAGGAGUAGAGGUCUCCCCACCUCCCUGUCUCAUCUACCUGGAUCUCAACGAGGCCAUUUACAAGAUAACACCAGUAGCCGUGUUCAAAACUCCUGUCUUGCCUGAACUUCACCUCAGCUUAUAGAAACACCAGUACUUCUGGCUACUUCUGGAAACAAGAAAACAAUAUUGGCACAAUAGCCCUUGGCAUGUCAUUGUCUCAGAUAAAAAUACUCCAACUGGGAUAGGAGGAGGUCUGCAUGCUCCCCUAGGAUUCCCACAGUGCUAUCAAGCACUGACUCAGGACCCAGUGACUAAAGCUUUCCCUUUUGAUAUACACGCUAUGCAGACACCUGAGCAAGAGACAAUGCCAGUCCUAGCUGGGAAACCUACGUGAGCCAGUGCAGUUACCUGAUACAUGCGCUGUGCUUUGAAAAGACACAAAUCUCUCCAUAGUUAAAGCUGAAACAAACCUGCUGCUGUAAGGCCAGUUUUGACCUACCACCUCUUCUGAACCAAAAUGAAAUCAAGCUACCUGACACUACACACGUUCAUUCCUAUGACAGGGCAGAAUUUUUCUGAAGGUAUGAGGCAAAUUGGAAUUUGGGAGUGUGAGGGUUUGAAACUGAGAUGAUCUUCUUUCUUGGACCUGUUUCUAUUUUCUUAAGCUCAUUUAAACGCCGUUAUUUGGCCCAGAAGCUCCACAUUUGGUUAGUCAGUUGGCCUCAGCAAGGACUGGUGGCUUUUGCUAGUUUGGGAGAAUUUUGUGGAGCAAUGUUAUUAAGGACGUUGCUGUGUGAUGAACCCUGCUAGGUUUAUGAACGCCACAGAAUAUUUUUUCUGAAUGUCACAUACCACUCCCCGCCCUGCACUGAAGCAGGCAGCCACCAUGGCUAUGUCUGCAAAGAUAUUUUGGGCAUGUUUAAUCUCCAUUGUUCCCUCUCACUUAACAUGCCCUGUGUCUGAACACAACAGUGCCUUAGUGGUGUUGAGGUCGUGCUAUAUGUUGUGUCAGGUGCACCAGGGCUGAGGUUCAAUUGUGCCAGCUCAUUUGUGCUGGGGCCCAUGUGAAUGGAGGCUACAGCAAACUAUGUGACCUAGUCCUUCACAGACUCUCUCUCAGUACUUUCACACUGCAAAAAUGUCCUCUGUGUGGAUCUCCUUAACCUCCUCUGCCCAGGGAUCAAUCCAGCCAGACAACUAUAUACAUGCUCCCAGCACAACCAUAUGGGCCCCAGCUGUGAGCUGCUUCCACAAUGACAAUCCUCUUUUGAUGGUUGCUCAGUAAACCUGUUCCUGACCCAUCUGAGUCACAUUGUACAAACCUAUAGCUGCUAUGGUAUAGAUCAGUACUACAUAGAUCUGCGCAGAACAGCUGUAUUUCACAGAUCUACAACAGAUGUCUAUAUUAGUGGUCUAUUAAAGAUAUAUGGUCUAGAUCUACAGUGUCUGAUGGAGAGGAGCUAUGAGCAGACUUCCAGCUGGCCUGUGGCCACAUCAGAUCUCCAAUUGCCUUUUGGGCCAAGACAUUGGAAGUGCAGGAACCAAAAGAUCUAUGGCACGAUUUCAAGGCAUCUUGCCAAGCUCGGCAUUAACUAGACCAGGAACCAGUGCCAGAAGGCAGCCACUGAUGAUAAUAGAAGUCUGAGAGGGCACCCGGAUGUUAUCCAUUCUUUCAAGGAAUAGAGCCAAUACCCUAACUAGAGACUGCCCAAGUAUGAGAGCAAAAGACUUAAUGGACACCUCCACAGCAAUCUGCAUCAAUAUGGGUAGGCAGGACAGUAACAGUGAGCCUGGUGAAUCCCAGACCACUCCUCCAAGCCUAGAUGAGUCCCAGCCUUCUGAGACCCUGGAAGCUGAAGAACUUGAGUCUCAGGACCUGCUGAGGGGUCUUUAAUCUCUGGGAGGUGUAAAGAGCUAAGAUAACCUCUCCAUGAAGCUGCCUGCCUCUCUUGGUGGAGAGGUGUGGAAUACAGCAUUGGAAUAUGAAAGUGUAAAUAGAAGUAUCCAUUUUUCCCUUUCCUGUGUAGAAAAUAUCUUGGAUUAUGUUUCCGUGGCCAUUAAUAAGAUACUUUGGCUUUUCCUUUUUACUUCCAAUGCUGGUUCCAGCCUCCUUCAAAAAGAGCCAGGCAACCACUGGCCAGGUUUGUCAAGCUUCAGUCUGGGAGAAAAAGACAAAUAAAGGAGGACAUGCUUCUGGACCUUCAGAGGGACAUUAGCCAGAAGUAUGACCAUUGCCAUCAGCUGGAGUUGAAAACAAUGAGGCUGCAGGCUGAACCCCAACAGGAAAACCAGGAGGCUACGGCUGAAUGCACUCAGCAUGACGGGAACAUGCUAAAGGAAGACAGGGAACUCAGAGACAAAUAGCUGAUCUUCAAAAUCUUCAAGCACUGCUCUCUCUGCUAUACAUGGUCUACCUUAAUCUGUUGCCUAUCCAGAACACCACCAUGUGCUCCAGAACAUGCAGAUCUCUAGUGGUUGGGGUAGACACCUCAGCAAUAGCAACCUGUCUCAACCUUACCUUUUGCACCCUACUCAAUGCACAGAAGAGGCGAAGAGAACAAAGAUGCACUUCCGCUACCUCUGGGGUCUUGCGUGUCCCAGAAUUCUGAACUUGCUUGCAGGCUCCAGUUGUGAACAGCUGCCUUGGCAGCCAACUUGUUUCGGCUACUGGUUCCUGACUUCCUCUUCUGGCAUGGAUACCUCAUGGAGUAGAGAGCAUCCCAUCAGGAACAGCUUUGCCUGGGAUCCAUGAGAAUGUGCUACAAGUCAUCCCAGCUUUCUGCAGAGACGCACUGGUGGCUGUUCCAGCAUUACCAGCAAAAAGCCUGGGAGCAGGAUUUGUAGCAGGAAGAAUAGGAUUUCUUCAUGAUUUGGUGCAGUGAUUUCAGGAAUGGAGGGAAGAGGAGCUGGUUAGAUAGUGUGACAGAAGCUUCUUGUCACUGCUACUGGAGGCCCAGCGCUGGAUUGGGCUUUGCCAGUCAGCCGUGGUCCCCUCUGCUCUCAGAUGGAACUCACCCACACCAUGUGUCAUGUACAGUAACAGAACUCUAUUGAUUUCCCUCCUUAUGUGACUUUUACAAAUGCUGCUGCUUGCUAUGAAACAUGGAUGUUGUCUUUCACCGACGCAGGAGCCCAUCACUUAGUUUCCUUUGAAGACACUCACCGCGCUAAUAGUUACAAGCUGCUAGGUGAGGCGUCCACUUUGCAGUCUGAAUGGACGUGCGCUGCGCUGGGAAAUGCCUUCCAGGAAAAACAAGAUCAGAAUUGAAUAGCAAACGUCAUUCUGAGGUGAAUAACAAAGUACUUCUCUGGGCCUCUGCAUCCUUGGGGAUCCUUCCCCCUCCAGUCCCAAUGUCCCCUCAUAUCUGACCCAGCCUCUUGACAGACACUUUACACUGCUCUGGCCAGUUUCACACUGCACAGGGCUGAAGGUCUGACCGGCCCAGGGCCAUGAAGAUUUAAAAGGAGAGGAUGUAUUGGCAAAGAUGUGAGGAGCCCCCUGGACUGGAACAGCAUGGGGGCCUCAGGUCAGGAGUGAAGUGCAUGGGCAGAGCUGUAUGACAGGCCAAGACUGGAAUAGCAAGAGGUGCUGAGAGUCAGGAUUGAGGUGCAUUGGCAGAGGUGUGCAUGGGCUGCUAGACAGGGUAAUAGCAGGGAGGGUUGUUAGUUUGAACCAGAGUGCAGAACUGUACUGCACCUGCCCUACUCUGUCUACAUUUAAGCAGCAUUGACUGUUGUUUGCUUUCAUGGGCACUAAAUUGACCCUAAAAUUAAGAGAUCCCUAGAAUGACUGAUGAAUAGUAGUAAAUGGUAGAGGCUUCUAUAAUGCUAGGGGGUAAAGAGCAACUGCCUGGAAGAUUGAGAGCCCAGAUCAGCAGGUCCCUUUCAUAAAGAGCUUUUUUGCCUGUCUACAGAGCUGAGGGGGCAGAGAUAGUGUCAACAUUGCAGCAAAGAUCUUCUCAUUACAUUUCUCCAUUGUAGACUCCGAGGAAAUGUGGGGGUGCCAUACCACAAACUGCCUGUAGGGGGCCCAGCAGCCAAAGGGGUAAUAUGCUUCCCCUCUUAUACUCCCUUCUGUCUCUGUACACCCUGCAGACAUAGGAAGAAGGUGCACUGAUUUCUCCAGCCUCAGCUGGGGGCUGGGAACAGUCAGAGCCCCUUUUAGUUAGCUCAGGAUUACAAACGGUAAAACCGAGCCCAGCCUUUUCCCUGACCACCUCUGGACAUUAGGGUCUCCUUGUCCCCCAGAGACAGGCUGUUAGCUUCACUGUCAGAGCUGAAUCUCAGCUCAGCUUAGAAAAUUGCCUCCCUCACUGUUUGUGCUGCCUGGGGCUGCCUCCCUCACUGUUUGUGCAACCUGGGGCUGCCUCCCUGUCUUGGGGGAGGCCAGGAUCCCCUCGCUAGAGCGUGGGAACCAUUUUUAUCCCUCUGACUUGUCUCUCGACAUUCUGACCUUCUCCUCUGAGGUGGAGGGUAGAGGCCAGCAGGGCUCAUUGUAGAGUUGCUACUUCUGUAGCUUCUGCUUUGCCCUGACCAUGCCAACCAUUCUGCUUUCCCACCACCUAUGCCUCGUGCCCCAUUCUGCCUAAAGCCUGUGGGUAGCUGUGUACUGGUCACAGGAGAAAGGGGCCUCGGGAUGCAUGCAUGGGAUCCAUACAUCCCUGGUCUCCAGCAUUGGGACAGAAGGAACUGUGAGAUGAAGGGUGUCUCCUGAAAGGUGCAUUUCAGAAAGGUACAGCCCAGAGGGAGGAUACAAAAGUGGCAUCUCAUUAUUGUGCCACCCAGACUCUGGGAUCCAGUAAGGGGCUGAAACAGCCCAUCCCCAUGUAAAUUAGAGCAACCUUGGAACUGCUCUGGCUUAUGGCAGCCUUAACCAGGCCAGAAUCCCUGUAACUAGAGAUGGUCAGGAACCAGAAUUCCCAUUCUUCAGGAAAUUUUGACAUUUCCAAAAAAUAUUUGCUCCAAAUCAGAAUGAAAAGGCAAAACGUUGAAAUUUCCUGCAGAAUAAAAACUCAGAAAAAUCCCAGUUUGGGACUAUUGAAACAUUUCAUUUAGAUGAUGUCAGAUUGUUUUGUUUCAAUACAAAUGUCUCACUUUGAUAAAGUUAAAACAUUUUCUUUAGACUUUAUCGUUUUGUGUUGACAUUAUAUUACAUGUAUUUAUAUAUGAAUCAUAUAUUUCAUAUAUAUUCUAGUUAAUAUUUUAAUAUAAGCAUCAAAACAAAUCAUUGUGGUUUUUCCCCAUCUAAAAUGUCAUUGAAAUUGACACAUACCCACGAAAUGUUUUGAUUUUGACUAAACUUCUUUUUCCAGCUGAAAACUGUUCCUUCCAUCAAAAGCAUUUUGACCAGUUCUACCCAUACACUAAGUGCUACAACUACUCCCCAUCCUGCCCCACCCCCAUCUUCCUCUCUAUGCCAGGGCUCAAGCGUGGGGGGGCUGUGACACAGACCUGUCCAGGCAUCCCCAGACAACUAUAUUAGCCAUCUUCUCAGUAUUUCACUGAAAUGGGGUGGGGGGUCACGUGUGGUCUCUGCCACAAGCUAAUGUGUAGCUGAUGGUCAUGGUUAUUGCAAGAGGUUUGUACAGGAAACAGUUGGAGAUGCAAAAUGUAGAAUUUUAGAUUUCAAAACGGUUGAGGUGAAACUUCUCACCCGAGGUGAGGUGGGUCUCAGGGCUAACCAUGGACAGCUGUGGAGCCAGCACUCUCUCUGGACCAGCUGAUGACUUGAGUAUUUACAAAGACAAAGAACCCCCAGGAAAGAUCCCUGAAUAGGAGGCCCCCAGGCUAAGUGAUAAUAAUCAGUAACUGUAUCGCAGCAGAAGAAAUGGCACACACUUUUAUCAAUUAUGGAGGAAAGACUCUGCCAGCAAGAGUGUCUCCUGAAAAGUGGAUCCCAGCUCUCUGGAUUGGACACGCGCCAUUGGGUGAGAACUGACAAUUGGGUGAGAAAUACCUUGUUAGACAGGAAACUAGCUUGUUAAUAAGUAUAGGCUAAUUGCAUGUUACGUUUUUCUUUUACCUGUAACCUUAUGUUUCCAAAUUCUUUUGUUAUAUUGAAUCCGUCUCUCAAGCUCCAUGACAUGAACUUCAGUUUGGUUUUACUAUAAACCUGUCUAAGUGCCUUGUGCUUGGGUGAGUGCUGAACUUCGGUCAAAUCAGUGAAUGAGGGUGCUCUGUUCCAAUGGAGGCAGCAGGUCAGUGUGCAGUGCUGGUGUUCAGAAGAUAGGGGCCCAGGCACUCGAGUGUAACAACGUGUAAAUUCCUGU